rnacentral:rRNA from 1 species
GAUGAACGCUGGCGGCGUGCCUAAUACAUGCAAGUCGAGCGAACAGACCAGGAGCUUGCUCCUCUGACGUUAGCGGCGGACGGGUGAGUAACACGUGGAUACCCUACCUAUAAUACUGGGAUAACUACGGGAAACCGGAGCUAAUACCGGAGAAUAUAUUGAACCGCAGGGUUCAAUAGUGAGAGACGGUUUUUGUGUCACUUAUAGCUGGAUCUGCGCCGCAUUAGCUAGUUGGUAAGUUAACGGCUUUCCAAGGCAACUAUGCGUAGCCGACCUGAGCGGGUGAUCGGCCGCAUUGGAACUGAGACACGGUCCAGACUGCUGCGGGAGGCAGCAGUAUGGAAUCUUCCGCAAUGGGCGAAAGCCUGACGGAAUAGCGCCGCGUGUGAGACGAAGAUCUUCGGAUCGUAACGCUGUCUUAUUCGUGAAGAACAAAUGUGUAAGUAACUAUGCUCGUAUUGACGGUACCUGAUCAGAAAGCCACGGCUAACUACGUG